rnacentral:rRNA from 1 species
UUUACAGGCUUAACACAUGCAAGUCGAGGGGCAGCAUUUUAGUUUGCUUGCAAACUGAAGAUGGCGACCGGCGCACGGGUGAGUAACACGUAUCCAACCUGCCGAUAACUCCGGGAUAGCCUUUCGAAAGAAAGAUUAAUACCGGAUAGCAUACGAAUAUCGCAUGAUAUUUUUAUUAAAGAAUUUCGGUUAUCGAUGGGGAUGCGUUCCAUUAGUUUGUUGGCGGGGUAACGGCCCACCAAGACUACGAUGGAUAGGGGUUCUGAGAGGAAGGUCCCCCACAUUGGAACUGAGACACGGUCCAAACUCCUACGGGAGGCAGCAGUGAGGAAUAUUGGUCAAUGGGCGAGAGCCUGAACCAGCCAAGUAGCGUGAAGGAUGAAGGCUCUAUGGGUCGUAAACUUCUUUUAUAUGGGAAUAAAGUUUUCCACGUGUGGAAUUUUGUAUGUACCAUAUGAAUAAGGAUCGGCUAACUCCGUGCCAGCAGCCGCGGUAAUACGGAGGAUCCGAGCGUUAUCCGGAUUUAUUGGGUUUAAAGGGAGCGUAGGUGGAUUGUUAAGUCAGUUGUGAAAGUUUGCGGCUCAACCGUAAAAUUGCAGUUGAAACUGGCAGUCUUGAGUACAGUAGAGGUGGGCGGAAUUCGUGGUGUAGCGGUGAAAUGCUUAGAUAUCACGAAGAACUCCGAUUGCGAAGGCAGCUCACUAGACUGUCACUGACACUGAUGCUCGAAAGUGUGGGUAUCAAACAGGAUUAGAUACCCUGGUAGUCCACACAGUAAACGAUGAAUACUCGCUGUUUGCGAUAUACAGUAAGCGGCCAAGCGAAAGCAUUAAGUAUUCCACCUGGGGAGUACGCCGGCAACGGUGAAACUCAAAGGAAUUGACGGGGGCCCGCACAAGCGGAGGAACAUGUGGUUUAAUUCGAUGAUACGCGAGGAACCUUACCCGGGCUUAAAUUGCAACAGAAUAUAUUGGAAACAGUAUAGCCGUAAGGCUGUUGUGAAGGUGCUGCAUGGUUGUCGUCAGCUCGUGCCGUGAGGUGUCGGCUUAAGUGCCAUAACGAGCGCAACCCUUAUCUUUAGUUACUAACAGGUUAUGCUGAGGACUCUAGAGAGACUGCCGUCGUAAGAUGUGAGGAAGGUGGGGAUGACGUCAAAUCAGCACGGCCCUUACGUCCGGGGCUACACACGUGUUACAAUGGGGGGUACAGAAGGCGGCUACCUGGUGACAGGAUGCUAAUCCCAAAAACCUCUCUCAGUUCGGAUCGAAGUCUGCAACCCGACUUCGUGAAGCUGGAUUCGCUAGUAAUCGCGCAUCAGCCAUGGCGCGGUGAAUACGUUCCCGGGCCUUGUACACACCGCCCGUCAAGCCAUGAAAGCCGGGGGUACCUGAAGUACGUAACCGCAAGGAGCGUCCUAGGGUAAAACUGGUAAUUGGG